UGAAUUUCUACAAUGUGCUAAUGCAUUAGGUGCAGAAGAUUCAUCAGUGAUGAGGACAGUCAGAGUCCCUGUCAUCAGUGGGCUUCAACUAUAAUGAGAAAGACAAGACAAUGAAAAAUCCCAAGACAAAGAAUAUCUCUUGAUACUAUUAAAUAUAGAUGUCUGGACUGAAUUGAGCUUACACGACAAUUGCAGUCAAGAUUCUGCAACUCAGAACGGGCAAACCAGUUCUGGAAGCUGGGAAGCCUAAGAUCAAGGAACUGAAAGAGUUGGAGUCUAGUGAGGACUGAGUCUCCACUUCCAAGAUGGUGCCUUGAAUGCUGCAUCCUCCAGAGGCAGGGAACGCCAUUCCUCACAUGGCAGAAGAGUGGAAGAGCAAGAAAGAGAAACUCACUCCUGAAAGUCCUCUUUAAAAAAGCAUUAAGCUUGCCCAUGAAGGUAGCGCCCUCAUGACCUAAUCACCUCUUAAAGGUCCUACUUCCCAAUACUAUUACAUUGGACAUUAAAUGUUAACAUGAAUUUUGGAAGGAACAAGCAUUCAAACCAUAGCAGUGGACCCCCUUUGCCUGGAACAGUCUGCUUUUAGCACUGAAAGUCUCGUGUUCUAGGAAAUCUUUCAGUUGGGGGCAAACUGGAAUGGUUGGUCACCCCAACUUCUUCCUACCCCUAGAUAUCUCUACCAUUGGCCUGUCACAGAAUCUGGAAUGAAUCCAUAGGCUAGCACUAUGUUUUCACGAAUCAUAUGUUAAAAUGCACCAAGACAGUACAUUAAUACGAGUUUUCAUUAUUCAUUUUUUAGUGGGAAUAUGUUUUUAGCUAUGUAGCUCCCACUUCAGACAACAGAGAGCUGAGCCACGACUGAAGAGUAAUUAUUGAUAGUGGGGAGGAAAAGGAAAGAACAACCGUUUGUUAAGCACAUGCUACGUUUAAGGAGUCCUGAUGGGCUUUUAAUAUUAAUAGAAACAGUUCAGAAAUCAGGCACUGGGUACAUGGAGAGGGUAGGAGAUUGAGUUAGCGAGUGGGGAGAUAAGAAGCAAAUCCUCUAAAAGAAAUUAAGUCAUUACUUAGCUGAGUGGAGAAGAUAGCUUUCAGGUCAAACCCCAGAUUUGCAUUUGUAUUUUGACUCUGCGUCUUUCUAACAGUGGAAUUGUGACCAAAAGUCUUAACCCCAACACUGAGUUUUCUCAUCGCUAAAACUGGAAUAUAAUACUUUCCCCAAGGGGUUCUAUGUUUUGUGCAAAUUAAAUGAAGUAAAGUGGGUAGAAUAUUUAGUGCCUACUACCUAACAAGCACUAUAUACACGUUUGAAGCUGCCACUCCUACUGUUACUGUUGGUACAUUUAUUCAAGGACGCCUUGCUCAGAAAGCCCUGGCUUCUCAUUUAUCCCCACUUUUGAGGGCCUAUCAUUGCUUUGUCUCUUUGACAUGUAAGCUAUUUGAUGUCUUUGCUGAAAAUCACUGGGUUUCUUGUUGCAUAUAUGCACAUGGCCACACAAUCAGAAGAAAAAAAAACAAAACAAUGAAAAGCAAUUGACUUUGCUUAUAAAAUCAUUAUCACAGCAGUAUUGUUUUUCUUCUGUGCCUCAUUCUGAGUUCCAUUCUUUUGGGGUUUUCCCAGGCAUCAAUUCAAUGCUUCCAAUUUUUAUGGGAUUUAAGUUACAUUUAAGGGGCUAUAUAAAUGCAAAAAAGGGAACAAGUUUGGGACUUCCAAAUCUGUGCUAUCAAAAGGACUGCACGAAAUUUUUCAUUUUCUUCCACAUAACUCUGCCUGAACGUUAUUUAUGGUUCGAGCAAAAUAGUAGACAUGGAAUAAGAAUUCAUUCAGCUAAGGCAUCUCGGUUAUUCAUAGGUGAACUGAAGCCCUAAACUAUCAUCAAAUUUCACUAGCAACAUUCCAAUGAUGCAGUCAUAUAAAAUUGAAAUUGUAAUGAAAUGUAACUUUACAUGUAUUCAUGGAUUUAAAAGGAAAAAAGAAUACCAUUUCCUCCUAUUGGUGUCAAUUUAAAGUCCCUAUUUUUUUUAAAUCGAGGUGCCUACUAAAGAUAGGCCCAAUAUUUUUGGCAAGAGGAGAACUUUUUUCAUUGGUGUUUAUUCUCCAAAUAAGAAUUACAUGUAAACACUUGUAAUUGAUCUUUAAAGCCUUUCUUGACAUAAAUAUAAAAAGCAGACUAUCACAGAUUGCCAAAUUUGUAAGAUAUGGCAAAAAGUAUUUGGUAUCAUCUAUUCAUGUUACAUGUAAAAAUUUUGCUUUGAGAUCGCAUACACAUAUUAGGUGAGUCACAUCUGUGUCUUUUAAUUUCAAUUCUCUUUCUGUUACAUUACACUGCUUUUCUUAAUGAAAAAUUUUAGCAAAUAGUAUUGAAAUAGGAUUUUAAGGAAAGAGUGUGAAAAUAGAGGAGUGCCUUCCAGAAUGCCAAAUAAAGUCCAGUAGUUUUAAUAAUUUUAAAAUAUUGAUAAAAUAAAGAGUUAAUUCAUAUUGUCAGGAAGAGCAUAAGGGAGAUUAAGCAAAGUAACAUUUUUUUUUUUUUUUGAGAUGGAGUCUUGCUCUGUCACCCAGGCUGGAGUGCAGUGGUGCAACCUCAGCUCAUCGCAACCUCUGCCUCCUGGGUUCAAGUGUUCUUCUGCCUCAGCCUCCCGAGUUGCUGGUAUUACAGGCACCCACCACCAUGCCUGGCUAAUUUUUUUGUAUUUUUAGUAGAGAUCAGGUUUCACCAUGUUGGCCAGGCUGGUUUUGAACUCCUGACCUGAAGUGAUCCACCCGCCUCAGCCUCCCAAAGUGCUAGGAUUACAGGCGUGAGCCACCGUGCCCGGCCACAAAGUAACCUUUUGAAAUAGAAUCUAAAGUGCCCCAAAAUGGCUUUUUAAUGAAAUUCUAGUGAAAAUCCUAAGGAAAUGAUGUAUUACUAUUUACUUAUUAACCUAUGAGAAUACAUACUAUGCUUUUUAUUUUUCUCUUGAAAGUAAAGAAAUAAAAGUAAUGGUUAACCAAGCCCCAUUUAUUUCUGGUUUCUAACGCCAUUUAGUUCAGAGUUUCUUAAAGUGAAGUCUUUAAACCGUGAACAUCAAAAUUAAUGUAAUGCUUCUUAAAAAUGCAGUUUCCAGGCCAUCCUUCAAACUUACUGAAUUACAAUCUUUGAGGAAUGGGGCCUACAAGUCAGUCCUUUAACAACCUCCCCAAAUGACUCUGAAGUACAAUAAUGUUUAAGAACCAUAUUUAAAUUUUACUCUUCCAUGUUGAUUAAUGAUUUGAUAUCACAGAUUAAGUAAAAGAUGGUUUCUUUUGCAUUACUUAAGUUUUAGUGUCAUUUGAAGAAGUGGCUGUACUGGUCCUUUGCAGUGAUUUUUAAUUUUAUUGUUACGUGGAAUAAAUAUUUCAUUGUAUGUGGUAGAAUCUGACAGCCUAUCGAAGAAAUUUCUUAGAACAUUAACAGGUGAGUCUGUAAGCUGUGCCUUUGUUGGGGCAGCUCUUUGGCAUAAACCAAUGGGAUUUGAGUAAUGGGCCAUAUGUCUGUUACAAUUCUGUAAAAAAAUUGGCUUACUUCAGAGAUGGAAAAAUGAUGCCAUCAAGCAGGAGUUGACAAUGUUUUCUUUUCUGCAAAAGGCCAAAGAGUAUUUUAGGCUUUGCAGGCCAUACAAUCUCUCUCGCGACUACUGAACUCCACUGUUGUAGUGUGAACACAGUCAUAAACAAUACAUAAAUAAAAGGAGCAUGUCUGUAUUGCAAUAAAACUUCAUUUACAAAAACUUUAAUUACAGUCUGAAUUAAGCCUGUGGACCAGUGUUUGUUGAUCCCCUAACAUAGACCAUUUAAUAUGUGAUUCAAUCAAUAUUUAAGGUAAAAGCAAUAGCACAAAUAUUGAAUAUUUACAACCUGAACGUAUAUGAGAACAUUGAUAAAAUGGAUUUAAAAAUACAGUGUUUGCUUCCUGUUCUAUUUUUCUUUAUUUUCUUUCCUUAUUGGUGAUACAAUGGCCCUACUGUGACUAAUCAUUGUGGUAGACUGUAAAUGUAGCCACAGAUUGGCCUCUCAUCAAGAGCUUAAGUCUAUUUCCACUGCCCUUUAAGCUGGCCCUGUGAUGAUCUCCGUACAACAGGAUGCAGCAGAAGUGUUGUGUUAGUUCUAACUUUAGACUUAAGAAGCCUUUCAGCUUCCACUUUCAUGCUGGGAAUCCUGAUGAAGAAAGAAAAUUCAUGUGGGGAGAGGUCUCAGCUGCCUUCAUCAUCUUAAUUGUCUUUAUUGAGGUCCACAUGAGGCCCACACGUAUAAUUGGACCCACCUGAGGAAAGGUAAGCCCAGCCCAAAUUAUCAAGCCCCAAAGCGGUGAUCUAAAUAAGACAGUUUUUGUUUUUAAGCCACUAUGUUUUAGUGUGAUUUAUUAUGCAGCAACCUAUAACUGAUACAAACAGGUAGCAAGGUCAUGAGCUGAGAAUGAAAAGGGGGUGGAUGUGUUUGAGGUUUGCAUCAAAGGUAUGGCAUGGAGAAAGUGUGAGAUGGUACAUCUGUGAGUAUCCUAGAACGGACAAGGGAAAUACAGUAGGGUGCUGAAGAGUACUGAGUUCACUUGAGGUGAAUAAACUUAACAUACUUUAUGAACUUAAAAUAAGGCCAGUUAGAAUGGUUGUGUGGUUUUUGCCCCAAAAUGUUCCAGCUGUGCAGAUACAGACAAAAAGUGGAGAGUUGAAUUUAAAUAUGGGUGGCGAGGUUUUAUCAGGUGAACAUGAUAAGGGUAGAGAGAGGAAAUUGGACUAGGCAUUUAUUAUAAUCAAUGAGAAUGAUUAUAAUAAUAACCUGGGUACAGACGAAACUGAGGCUAUGGCGACUCUGAGAGACUUUGUAAACAUCAAUGGAUUGUUGGUUCCAGUGGGGUCAAAGAACUGUUGGGCCAAAGUUCUACAGGAAGUGAGCUGGUAAGAUAGGAGCUGGGUUGCCAGAGAGUGCAAUACUUGAAAUUAAAUCAUGCAGAAGACAACAGUUUUGUGAUGUGGCAAUUUGGCCCAGCUGAACUUUUUUUUUUUUUUUUCCCCCAGAAUUCCUUCCCUGCCUGUUUCUAUUUAGGGAGGGUGGUUGUGAAGUAGCAGCCAUUUUGUUUUUAUGCUCAAAAUGUUGGGCAGGAUACUUUUGUAGCUCACAUAUGUUGUUGCUUCUCUGCUGGCUCAUUUGAUGGCUAUGGGGCAGCAGCUCAGCCUGCCACCACCUCUAGAUGUUUCUUCAGCUUCUCCAACUCCAAGGCUGGUUACAGAGCUUUCACUCUAGCAUCUGAAAAAGGAACCAACUCCUGCUAAAUCUUGAGAAUUGACACAUUGAAGCCUUAUCUUCAGACUCUGAAAAAGGCUGGAAGCUUAUCAUGGGCCUGGAUCUUGUGCUAUUCAAAUGUUUUCACCGAUGCCUACAACUGUAUUUGGCACAUAGAAGAUGCAAACAAUAAACCUCAGAACAUCUCAAACCCAAGGAGUCUGGAUUUUCCUGACAUCAAUGUAUCCUUUUGAGUAUAUUAUCGUAUCUCUUAACAUUUCUGUUUCAUCCUUGACCUGAGACUUUUUUUUUUUUUUUUAAUCUUGAGAUAAUUCUUGGCUUUGUCAAGGCUACUGGUGACAAAAGCAUUAGCAAGCAGGUGCAGAGUGCUUUUUCCACCAAAGAAGAGACAUUGUACUCUUUUUGGGGUUAUAUUAAUGACUAAAUCUGAGAAAUUAGAAAUGCAUUUGCUGAAUUGAAGAACCCAUUAGAGACUCUCAACAGGAGAAUGGGUCUUGCUGAGGAGUCAGUGACCUCUCAGGCCAGCUAUUUGAAAAUACAAAGUCAGAGGAAAAAAACGAAAAAAAGAAUGAAAAUGAAUUAAGACUGCCUACGAGAUACAGAAAAUUACCUCAAAAGACUAAAUCUGAGUUAUCAGUGCUCAAAAGGGAAUCAAACAAGAGCAAGUGGUAGAAAGUUUUUUCAAGGAAAGAAUAACAGAAAACUUACCAACUCUUGAGAUAGAUAUACAUAUCUAGGUACAGGAAGAUCUGAGAGCACCAAGCAGAUUCAACUCAAAUAAGAAUACCAUAAGACACUGAAUAAUCAGACUGUCAAAGGUCAAGGACAAAGAGAGAAUACUAAAGGCAGCAAGAGAAGAAAAGCAAAUAACAUAUAAAGGAAUUCCAAUCCAUCUGGCAGCAGAUUUCACAAUGGAAAUCUUAUAGGCCAGCGGGGAGUGGAACAUGUUCAAAAGCUCAAAGAAGAAAACUGAUAUGAAAGAAUAUUGCAUUCAGCAAAAUUAUCCUUCAGAUAUGAAGGAGAAAUAAAGUUUUUCCAAGACAAUCAAAAACUGAGAAAAUUUAC